rnacentral:rRNA from 1 species
ACUCCUACGGGAGGCAGCAGUGGGGAAUAUUGCACAAUGGGCGCAAGCCUGAUGCAGCCAUGCCGCGUGUGUGAAGAAGGCCUUCGGGUUGUAAAGCACUUUCAGUCGUGAGGAAGGUAGUGUAGUUAAUAGCUGCAUUAUUUGACGUUAGCGACAGAAGAAGCACCGGCUAACUCCGUGCCAGCAGCCGCGGUAAUACGGAGGGUGCGAGCGUUAAUCGGAAUUACUGGGCGUAAAGCGCAUGCAGGUGGUUUGUUAAGUCAGAUGUGAAAGCCCGGGGCUCAACCUCGGAAUAGCAUUUGAAACUGGCAGACUAGAGUACUGUAGAGGGGGGUAGAAUUUCAGGUGUAGCGGUGAAAUGCGUAGAGAUCUGAAGGAUACCGGUGGCGAAGGCGGCCCCCUGGACAGAUACUGACACUCAGAUGCGAAAGCGUGGGGAGCAAACAGGAUUAGAUACCCUGGUAGGAUAGCG